GGGCCUCUAGCUCAACUGGCAGAGCAGCGGACUUUUAAUCCGCGGGUUGUGGGUUCGAUUCCCACGGGGCCCACAA
rnacentral:tRNA from 1 species